UCCUAAAAGGUAACGGAGGCGCUCAAAGGUUCCCUCAGAAUGGUUGGAAAUCAUUCAUAGAGUGUAAAGGCAUAAGGGAGCUUGACUGCGAGACCUACAAGUCGAGCAGGGUCGAAAGACGGACUUAGUGAUCCGGUGGUUCCGCAUGGAAGGGCCAUCGCUCAACGGAUAAAAGCUACCCCGGGGAUAACAGGCUUAUCUCCCCCAAGAGUUCACAUCGACGGGGAGGUUUGGCACCUCGAUGUCGGCUCAUCGCAUCCUGGGGCUGUAGUCGGUCCCAAGGGUUGGGCUGUUCGCCCAUUAAAGCGGUACGCGAGCUGGGUUCAGAACGUCGUGAGACAGUUCGGUCCCUAUCCGUCGUGGGCGUAGGAAAUUUGAGAGGAGCUGUCCUUAGUACGAGAGGACCGGGAUGGACAUACCUCUGGUGUACCAGUUGUCGUGCCAACGGCAUAGCUGGGUAGCUAUGUGUGGACGGGAUAAGUGCUGAAAGCAUCUAAGCAUGAAGCCCCCCUCAAGAUGAGAUUUCCCAACUUC
rnacentral:rRNA from 1 species